CUACAAUAAACCGGCGCACUGAUUGCACGCAGUAAAUACACCGACCUACCGCCAUCGGGAGAUGCCUUUGUCUCACCUCUGGUUUCUGUUUCUGGUGUUACCAGUCGGUUUUACAGAUAUGGCGGCCGUGCUGAUCCAACAGACUCCCGCUUACAUAUCCGGUUCCCCGGGCACUCCAGUCAGAAUCGAGUGCCUUUACCCAGAAGCCAGUGUUAACAGCUAUUUCUACUGGUACCGAUGGCAUCCUGACCGUGAGCCUCAGAACCUUUUCUAUUCCAACAUCGUUGGCACGGUCAUUCCCUCCGAUGAGGUGAAUGGUUUCACCGCGUGA